rnacentral:rRNA from 1 species
GAUUAACGCUGGCGGCGUGCAUAACCCAUGCAAGUCGAACGACGAAACUUAGUCGACUUCUUCGGAAAGACACUAAGCGGAUUAGUGGCGCACGUGUGAGUAACGCCUGAGUAACCUGCCUUACACAAGGGGAUCGCCUCUGGAAACGAAGAAUAAUACCCUACAAAACCAUAAAAGCACAUACUAGAUUUGUCUAUGUGAUAGCGGUGUAAGCUGGACUUACGACCUAUUAGCUAGUUGGUGAGAUAACAGCUCACCAAGGCAACGAGCAGAAGCCGGCUUUAGAGAGUGUACGGCCACCUUAGGACAGGCACACGGCCCAGACUUCUACGAGAGGCAGCAGGGGGGAAUUAUGCACAAUGCGGGAAAGCCUGAUGCAGCGACGCCGCGUGAUUUAGAAGGCCUUCAGGAUGUAAAGAGCUUUUGUAUAGGAAGAAAAUGACAGUACUAAACGAAUAAGGCCCGGCUAAUUACGUG